rnacentral:lncRNA from 1 species
GGGUAGAUGUUCUUUGUUGAUUACGAAGUCUUAAUGUGGACUAGCUUCAGAAGCUUCUCAGAGCCAAACCGUCAUCUCUUUGCCUUUCUGCUACGAAGACCACACUCCCAUCCAGGCCACCCACCAGGUUCCAUUUGGUGGAACCCCCACCAAGGACACCUUUAGCUGUUGAUUGCUUUAUAGAAUAACCGGGCUGGAUGACAGCCCUGAGCAGUUUGCCAGUGUGGUCUAGUUUUCUAGGUUUCCCUGGUGAGUCAACAGGAAUGUAUCUACUUGUCUCUGGGAAUUGCAGUUCUACAUCAUCACCUAAAGUCUUCCAGAUUUUCCUGAAGAGAGGCAAAUCUGCAACGAGACGAGAAAUCAGUGAUAGGAAGAAAACUGUAAAGGUGUAAAACACAACUGAAAGCUGACUGUUGAAUUAACAUCGUGGUGAACAAGUGAACAGGACAGAAAGGGCUCCAAAUCUCCAGGAGCUGGUGAUCAACCAGGAAAGGGAAACAUUGACCGGACGGGAAAGCCACGAUUCACAGAUCUUGGAUGUGAGUCAUGGAAAUGAACCUGAACUGAGAGUUGCUUUCCAAAGACUAUCUCACCACUGGGAUUCAGGCUGAACAAAGGAGUUAGAUUCAAGUCCUUUCUCCUGAACUGUGCUGACCACACCUUUCAUACCAAGAUACGUUGAUUGCACCCAGAGACCAAAGGACACCGUGAUUUGAUCCCCUGAGCUGAAUGCU